CCCCAUGUGUCUGAUUGGAAGAAGUGGAACAGGAAUUGGGUGUGGGAGCCUGGAAGUGGCAGUUGCAUAAGGGAGCUAAACCUACAACCAGUUGUAGUUGAGCUUAACCUAUGUCGACCCAUAUAAGUCGCUGAUCCUCCUAAGAAUGACAAUACGAUGAAAUUGAUUGAAACUCAAAGAUAAAUUUUAGAAAGAAAAAGACGGGCAAAAGAGUGAAGUAGGAAGCACUAACAGGUCAAAUAAGUUUUUCAAGGAAGAAAUCCUGGAAGGAAUAGGACCUUCCAAAGAGGUGCCUUGAAUGCGCCUGUGAGACAUUAAUAGAGAGUUCAAUGAUAAUAAAUAUUAUGAU